rnacentral:rRNA from 1 species
GUAGUCAUAUGCUUGUCUCAAAGAUUAAGCCAUGCAUGUGCAAGUAUGAACGCUUGAACCGUGAGACUGCGAAUGGCUCAUUAAAUCAGUUAUAGUUCAUUUGAUGGUGUCCGUUCUACGUGGAUAACUGUGGUAAUUCUAGAGCUAAUACAUGCAAGAGGUCCCGACCCGUUUCGUUCGGRAGGGGACGUAUUUAUUAGAUCCAAAACCAAUGCGGGUCAGUUCGACCUUGGGUCGUCCUUCCCGGUGUCCUGGUGAUUCAUAGUAAUUGCUCGAAUCGCUGUGCCUUCGAGCCGGCGAUGGUUCAUUCGAGUUUCUGCCCUAUCAACUUUCGAUGGUACGGUAUUGGCCUACCAUGGUCGCAACGGGUGACGGAGAAUUAGGGUUCGAUUCCGGAGAGGGAGCCUGAGAAACGGCUACCACAUCCAAGGAAGGCAGCAGGCGCGCAAAUUACCCAAUCCCGACUCGGGGAGGUAGUGACAAUAAAUAACAAUGCCGGUCCCUAUAGCGGUCCGGCAAUUGGAAUGAGUACAAUCCAAACCCCUUAACGAGGAACAAUUGGAGGGCAAGUCUGGUGCCAGCAGCCGCGGUAAUUCCAGCUCCAAUAGCGUAUAUUAAAGUUGUUGCAGUUAAAAAGCUCGUAGUUGGAUUUCGGGGCCCCAGACGUUGUCAACCGUCCCUGUCCUCAGGGAUGUGGUUGGCGUUGUCGGUCUCUGAGUCGGAUCGGUCCGUCGAGAGGCGAGCACUGACCGACGGCCCCCGUUUGUCUCUCGAGAUUCCUGCCUGCUCUUAAUUGCGGUGGACGGGGAGUUCGGGAUGUUUACUUUGAACAAAUUAGAGUGUUCCAAGCAGGCCGGUUGCUUUGAAUACAUUAGCAUGGAAUAAUGGAAUAGGGCUGCGUCUGAUGUCGUUGGCGGCGGGAAGGCCUCCCCAGGCGUCUCGUCGUUUGCGUUCACCGUCCUAUUUUGUUGGUUUUCGGGACCGCAGUCAUGGUCGAGAGGGACAGUUGGGGGCAUUCGUAUUCAGUUGUCAGAGGUGAAAUUCUUGGAUUUAUGGAAGACGAACGAGUGCGAAAGCAUUUGCCAAGGAUGUUUUCAUUAAUCAAGAACGAAAGUUGGGGGUUCGAAGACGAUCAGAUACCGUCGUAGUCUCAACCAUAAACCAUGCCAGCUAGGGAUCGGCGGACGUCGGUAGCGACUCCGUCGGCACCUGUCGAGAAAUCCAAGCCUUUGGGUUCCGGGGGGAGUAUGGUCGCAAGGCUGAAACUUAAAGGAAUUGACGGAAGGGCACCACCAGGAGUGGAGCCUGCGGCUUAAUUUGACUCAACACGGGGAACCUCACCAGGUCAGGACAUGGGAAGGAUUGACAGAUCGAGAGCUCUUUCUUGAUUCUAUGGGUGGUGGUGCAUGGCCGUUCUUAGUUGGUGGAGUGAUUUGUCUGGUUGAUUCCGUUAACGAACGAGACCUUAACCUGCUAACUAGUCGUGCCGUUUCCGAACGGCGAGGGUUGUUGGUCGGUGCGGCGUCUGUUGCAUCAGUCGGUGCCUUCACGCUCUCCUCUCCGGUGGCGACUUCUUAGAGGGACACUCGGCAUCUGUUUCUAGCCGAGGGAGGAUUGAGGCAAUAACAGGUCUGUGAUGCCCUUAGAUGUUCUGGGCCGCACGCGCGCUACACUGACAGAGAGAGCGAGCAUGUCCUUAGCCGUGAGGCUCGGGUAAUCUUGUGAGUCUCUGUCGUGCUGGGGAUAGAUGGUUGCAAUUGUCGAUCUUGAACGAGGAAUUCCUAGUAAGCGCGAGUCAUCAACUCGCGCUGAUUACGUCCCUGCCCUUUGUACACACCGCCCGUCGCUACUACCGAUUGACCGGCUUAGCGAGAACUUUGGAUUGGGGCCCUGGUGGUCGGCAACGGUUGGCAGGGAUUCUCCGAGAAGCUGUUCCAACUUGGUCCGUUAGAGGAAGUAAAAGUCGUAACAAGGU